rnacentral:rRNA from 1 species
UAAUACAUAGGGGGCAAGCGUUGUCCGGAUUUAUUGGGCGUAAAGGGUACGCAGGCGGUCCUUUAAGUCAGAUGUGAAAUCUUACGGCUCAACCGUAAUUAGCAUUUGAAACUGGAGGACUUGAGUUAAGGAGAGGAAAGUGGAAUUCCUAGUGUAGCGGUGAAAUGCGUAGAUAUUAGGAGGAAUACCAGUGGCGAAGGCGACUUUCUGGACUUAUACUGACGCUGAGGUACGAAAGCGUGGGGAGCAAACAGG